AUUGAACGCUGGCGGCAUGCCUUACACAUGCAAGUCGAACGGUAACAGGUCUUCGGAUGCUGACGAGUGGCGAACGGGUGAGUAAUACAUCGGAACGUGCCCGAUCGUGGGGGAUAACGGAGCGAAAGCUUUGCUAAUACCGCAUACGACCUACGGAUGAAAGCAGGGGACCGCAAGGCCUUGCGCGGACGGAGCGGCCGAUGGCAGAUUAGGUAGUUGGUGGGAUAAAAGCUUACCAAGCCGACGAUCUGUAGCUGGUCUGAGAGGACGACCAGCCACACUGGGACUGAGACACGGCCCAGACUCCUACGGGAGGCAGCAGUGGGGAAUUUUGGACAAUGGGCGCAAGCCUGAUCCAGCCAUGCCGCGUGCAGGAUGAAGGCCUUCGGGUUGUAAACUGCUUUUGUACGGAACGAAAAGACUCUGGUUAAUACCUGGGGUCCAUGACGGUACCGUAAGAAUAAGCACCGGCUUAA
rnacentral:rRNA from 1 species